GUCGUAAAUCUCUUUCGCAGUCGCUUUUGUUCCUCAACGUUCUUCUCUGUCUCUCUUUCAUCCUUUCUUUUAUCUUCUUUCUCAAUCUCUCUCUCUCUCCUCCUUCCUCAUCUUCUUUCUCCUCCUUCCUCUAUUCAUGUUCACGGCACGUCGGUGGGUCGAACCUAGCAACGGUGGCAAUGGCGCAAGGAGCUGAUACAAACCACCUCUCGUCGUUUCCCCCUCACGAAAUGAUUUUCCCUGAAGUGGAGCAAACCUGGGUACGGGAUUUAACUCAGGUAUUAUGGGCUUUGUGGCCAUGUGAAGGUUGGGUAUGGUGCUGAGUUUGAUGAUGAUGAGGACCAAGAAGCCAGAAUUUGGUUCCUAAGGCACAUUCGGAAUUUGAGAUCGCAGUUGCAGUAACUU